rnacentral:misc_RNA from 1 species
AACGCAUCUUGCGCUCCUUGGUAUUCCGAGGAGCAUGCCUGUUUGAGUGUCAUUUGACUUCUCUCAACCACAUCGAAAUUGAUGUGCGCUUGGAUGUGGGGGUUUGCAGGCUUUCUUUUCUAAUGAAAGCUGGCUCCCCUGAAAUGCAUUAGUGGUGAUCUGAGCUGCUAUUGGUGUGAUAAAUCUAUCUAUGCCUUUGGUAAUGCUGGUCAGCACCGCUUAUAACAACAAACAUUUGACAAAUUUGACCUCAAAUCAGGUAGGACUACCCGCUGAACUUAA